GUUCGGACAAUAGCUCCAGGCAGGGAAAGAGGUUUGGAGAGUUUCGGGCGAAGACUGGCGCCAGCCCGGGCCCCGCCUCCCGCGCACCUUGACUCCUACUGGGUUUUCCUGGGGACCGGACUGAGGUGGCGCACGGAUUGGCCCACUAAUGCCCCUCUGGUGCUCUUGCCGAGCUCACUCGUGCCCAGCAUCGGGCACAUCGGAGGAGGUGAUGGGUGUUUAAUGCCUCAUUAGGACUGUGGUUGUGGGAGGAGGACAAGACGCAGAGUCUCGGGUCUCCAGCUUGACUCCACGGGGACUCUGUAUUAGCCGAGGCUCCCCAAGGGGCCACGGCUCUUUUCUCCGUAGAUGGUGGAGCAGAGCCGGUCUUGCUACCCCUUUCCUGGGAGAAGCAGCGCGGGGUCACGGCACAGAAUGGGCUCUGUCUCCACGCGGCCCCCGUCGCCCCUGGGGUGCAGGUCGCCCCAGAGAGAUAUUCCUUAUUCCUAAAAUAAAUCCAUAUGAUGACUGGAAUGAUCAGAAGAGGAGCGCGCCGUUUGGACUGGAUUUUGUUCUCUGACUUACCCUGUCUGCCUCUUUGGUCACACUCUUUCCUUCGCACCUUCACUCCCAACGGAAACACCCUCACCUUGAAAGCAGCUCCCUUUUCCCAGAACAGAAGACACGGGCACAGUGAGACAGUGCUGGAAGACCUGAGGCCUCUGCCCGCAGAGCAACCAGGCCAGCAGCCCUGGGAUGUACUGAAUGACUGCCAUUCUCAUGGACACUGGAGAGCCACGGGAACAUGAACCAGGGGGAGAUUCCAGAACCUUUGACUAGGUUUGUGGUCAGUCAAUACAUGUGCAUCAACCCAUUCCGGUUUGAGGUUUCUAGACUGAGGUUUCCAAUGGCAGAGUAGACCCUGGAGCAAAUGACUAUUGUGACUCCAGGAAGUAUGUCACUAUGUACAUAGUUUUUCAGUAAAACCACUGAAGAUAGCUGGGCAGAUGUUUGGUAUGAGGUGCCAAAGACUGACCAGAGUUUCUCAAUGUUUCCUACUGACCACUUGGGAAAUUCUGUAGCCCCUAAAUACAUUAUUCCUGCAAUCCCACUCCAUUGUAAAAAAUUAAAUGGUUUGAAUUACCCCUUUGGAUCAAAAUUUUCUUUAUUCUGUGAACUUUAUGCACCUCUUUCCAGAGAGUAAAUGUGUCAGAGGUGAUGGUUUUGACUCCUCACUAUUAUAACUGGCAACUUUUUGUGCUUUGAUGACUCCCACACAGAAAAUGUACUUUUAUGUGUUCUUGGAAAUCUGUAAUGGAUGUUUUGCUCUAUAGAGGUGGGAUACAAUGUGGGUGGAGCCUCACGUCACACUGGGGGUUUACUUGCAUUGUGUGGCUGUCAUUGGCCAGGUGGUAUUGAGCACAUUGGAUGCUCUGAGGUAUAUGAAAAGAUUUCCUCCUCUGUAAAACAGGAAUAACAAUACCUAAAUCAUAGGGUUGCUGUAAGUAAUAAAUGCAUGUUUGCCAACUUUCUAGACAGUUCUUUUAGUACAACAUUGUAUUUAAUAAAUGUUUUAUAAAACAA